AAACUAGGAUUAGAUACCCUAUUAUUUAAGAGCUAUAUAUUGUUAGUAAAUAAUUAUUACGAAAGCAAAAAAUUAUGGCGGUAUUUUAAGCUUUUCAGAGGAAUUUGCUCUUUAAUGGAUAAAACACCUAAAUCUUACUUGAAUUUGUUAAGUCAAUUUGUAUACCACUAUAAAAUUAAUUAUUUGCUUUAAUUAAUAAAGUAUAUAAUUUUUAAAACAAAUUAAGUCAAGGUGCAGUAAAAAUUUAAGAAUGAAGUGAAUUACAUUUCUUCUAAGAGAUUAAUGCAAUUAAAAAUAGAAUUAGGAUUUGAAAGUAAAAUUAAAAUAUAAUGUUAAUUUGAAUAAAGCUCUAAAAUAUGUACACAUCGCCCGUCGCUCUCAUU
rnacentral:rRNA from 1 species